rnacentral:rRNA from 1 species
ACGGUCCUAAGGUAGCGAAAUUCCUUGUCGGGUAAGUUCCGACCUGCACGAAUGGCAUAAUGAUGGCCAGGCUGUCUCCACCCGAGACUCAGUGAAAUUGAAAUCGCCGUGAAGAUGCGGUGUACCCGCGGCUAGACGGAAAGACCCCGUGAACCUUUACUAUAGCUUGACACUGAACAUUGAAUUUUGAUGUGUAGGAUAGGUGGGAGACUUUGAAGAUGAUACGCCAGUAUUGUUGGAGUCGUCCUUGAAAUACCACCCUUUAACGUUUGAUGUUCUAACGAAGAUUACGAAACGUGGUCUCGGACAGUGUCUGGUGGGUAGUUUGACUGGGGCGGUCUCCUCCCAAAGAGUAACGGAGGAGCACGAAGGUUUGCUAAUGACGGUCGGACAUCGUCAGGUUAGUGCAAUGGUAUAAGCAAGCUUAACUGCGAGACAGACAAGUCGAGCAGGUACGAAAGUAGGUCAUAGUGAUCCGGUGGUUCUGAAUGGAAGGGCCAUCGCUCAACGGAUAAAAGGUACUCCGGGGAUAACAGGCUGAUACCGCCCAAGAGUUCAUAUCGACGGCGGUGUUUGGCACCUCGAUGUCGGCUCAUCACAUCCUGGGGCUGAAGUAGGUCCCAAGGGUAUGGCUGUUCGCCAUUUAAAGUGGUACGCGAGCUGGGUUUAGAACGUCGUGAGACAGUUCGGUCCCUAUCUGCCGUGGGCGUUGGAGAAUUGGUUGGGGCUGCUCCUAGUACGAGAGGACCGGAGUGGACGCACCACUGGUGUUCCGGUUGUGUCGCCAGACGCAUUGCCGGGUAGCUAAGUGCGGAAGAGAUAAGUGCUGAAAGCAUCUAAGCACGAAACUUGCCAAGAGAUGAGUUCUCCCAGAUUUAAAAUCUGUAAGGGUUGUUUAAGACUAAGACGUAGAUAGGUCUGGUGUGUAAGCGGUGCGAGCCGUUGAGCUAACAGAUACUAAUUGCCCGAGAGGCUUAACUAU